UGGUGUUCCUUCCUAUAUCUACGCAUUUCACCGCUACACAGGAAAUUCCACCACCCUCUACCGUACUCUAGCUCAGUAGUUUUGGAUGCAGUUCCCAGGUUGAGCCCGGGGAUUUCACAUCCAACUUGCUGAACCACCUACGCGCGCUUUACGCCCAGUAAUUCCGAUUAACGCUUGCACCCUUCGUAUUACCGCGGCUGCUGGCACGAAGUUAGCCGGUGCUUAUUCUGUUGGUAACGUCAAAACAGCAAGGUAUUAACUUACUGCCCUUCCUCCCAACUUAAAGUGCUUUACAAUCCGAAGACCUUCUUCACACACGCGGCAUGGCUGGAUCAGGCUUUCGCCCAUUGUCCAAUAUUCCCCACUGCUGCCUCCCGUAGGAGUCUGGACCGUGUCUCAGUUCCAGUGUGACUGAUCAUCCUCUCAGACCAGUUACGGAUCGUCGCCUUGGUAGGCCUUUACCCCACCAACUAGCUAAUCCGACCUAGGCUCAUCUGAUAGCGUGAGGUCCGAAGAUCCCCCACUUUCUCCCUCAGGACGUAUGCGGUAUUAGCGCCCGUUUCCGGACGUUAUCCCCCACUACCAGGCAGAUUCCUAGGCAUUACUCACCCGUCCGCCGCUGAAUCCAGGAGCAAGCUCCCUUCAUCCGCUCGACUUGCAUGUGUUAGGCCUGCCGCCAGCGUUCAAUCUGAGCCAGGAUCAAACUCUC
rnacentral:rRNA from 1 species